rnacentral:tRNA from 1 species
GCGGAUAUAAAUUAAUGGUAGAUUUUCUGCCUUCCAAGCAGACAGUAUGGGUUCAAAUCCCAUUGUCCGCA